rnacentral:rRNA from 1 species
CGGUGAGGGAUGAAAGCUGGGGGAGCAANCCGGAUUAGAUACCCGGGUAGUCCCAGCUGUAAACUAUGCAAACUCAGUGAUGCAUUGGCUUGUGGCCAAUGCAGUGUUGCAGGGAAGCCGUUAAGUUUGCCGCCUGGGAAGUACGUACGCAAGUAUGAAACUUAAAGGAAUUGGCGGGGGAGCACCACAAGGGGUGAAGCCUGCGGUUCAAUUGGAGUCAACGCCAGAAAUCUUACCCGGAGAGACAGCAGAAUGAAGGUCAAGCUGAAGACUUUACCAGACAAGCUGAGAGGUGGUGCAUGGCCGUCGCCAGCUCGUGCCGUGAGAUGUCCUGUUAAGUCAGGUAACGAGCGAGAUCCCUGCCUCUAGUUGCCACCAUUACUCUCAGGAGUAGUGGGGCGAAUUAGCGGGACCGCCGCAGUUAAUGCGGAGGAAGGAAGGGGCCACGGCAGGUCAGUAUGCCCCGAAACUCUGGGGCCACACGCGGGCUGCAAUGGUAAUGACAACGGGUCCCGAAUCCGAAAGGAAGAGGUAAUCCUCAAACAUUACCACAGUUAUGACUGAGGGCUGCAACUCGCCCUCACGAAUAUGGAAUCCCUAGUAACUGCGUGUCAUUAUCGCGCGGUGAAUACGUCCCUGCUCCUUGCACACACCGCCCGU